rnacentral:rRNA from 1 species
UACGGAGGGGGCUAGCGUUGUUCGGAAUUACUGGGCGUAAAGCGCACGUAGGCGGCUUUGUAAGUUAGAGGUGAAAGCCCGGGGCUCAACUCCGGAAUUGCCUUUAAGACUGCAUCGCUAGAAUUGUGGAGAGGUAAGUGGAAUUCCGAGUGUAGAGGUGAAAUUCGUAGAUAUUCGGAAGAACACCAGUGGCGAAGGCGGCGAUCUGGGUCGAUACUGACGCUGAGGUGCGAAAGCGUGGGGAGCAAACAGG